rnacentral:rRNA from 1 species
GGAGGUACUCGAGUGGCGAACGGGUGAGUAACACGUGGGUGAUCUGCCCUGCACUCUGGGAUAAGCCUGGGAAACUGGGUCUAAUACCGGAUAGGACCAUGCUUUAGUGUGUGUGGUGGAAAGUUUUUUCGGUGUAGGAUGAGCCCGCGGCCUAUCAGCUUGUUGGUGGGGUAAUGGCCUACCAAGGCGGCGACGGGUAGCCGGACUGAGAGGUUGGUCGGCCACAUUGGGACUGAGAUACGGCCCAG